UACGUAGGGCGCAAGCGUUGUCCGGAAUUAUUGGGCGUAAAGAGCUCGUAGGCGGUUUGUCGCGUCUGUCGUGAAAGCUUGGGGCUUAACCCCAAGUCUGCGGUGGAUACGGGCAGACUAGAGGCAGGUAGGGGAGAACGGAAUUCCCGGUGUAGCGGUGAAAUGCGCAGAUAUCGGGAGGAACACCGGUGGCGAAGGCGGCUUCCUGGCCUGUUCUUGACGCUGAGGCGCGAAAGCUAGGGGAGCAAACGGG
rnacentral:rRNA from 1 species